rnacentral:lncRNA from 1 species
UGAAAACAUCCCCCUAACUGAAACUGACUCUGUCCAGACUGAAAAGACUGACCACCUGAGGUCCCACUCCUACUGCUCGAUCCACUCCUGAAUCGCCCAAGCUGACGCCCAAUAAAAUUCUUGAAGGGUCUACUACCGUGCUUCUUGAACUUCCCUCUGAAACCGGAGCCAGGACUCGAACUGCUACCAUGUCCACUACCAGAAGAUGAUCCAGAACCCGAGGUGGACGCCAAUUUCCUUGAUGAACC